UCCACUAUAGCACAGUGGUAAGACUGACCGUAACUUCGGAAACGGGAGGUCGGUGGUUCGAUUCCCCCAGGUGGCA